rnacentral:rRNA from 1 species
UUGAUAAGUUCAGAAUAGAAAAUCCCCCGGGCUUAACCGAGGGAACAGCAUAUAAUANUGUUAAGCUAGAAAUAGGUGAGAGGAAGGUAGAAUUCCAGGUGUAGCGGUGAAAUAGGUAGAGAUCUGGAGGAAAUACCGAUGGCGAAGGCAGCCUUCUGGCAUCAUACUGACACUGAGGUUAGAAAGCGUAGGUAGCAAACAGGAUUAGAUACCCUGGUAGUCCACGCCGUAAACGAUGUUUACUAGUAGAUGGGUCCCUUGAGGACUUAGUGACGCAGCUAACGCAAUAAGUAGACCGCCUGGGGAGUACGGCCGCAAGGUUAAAACUCAAAUGAAUUGACGGGGGCCCGCACAAGCGGUGGAGCAUGUGGUUUAAUUCGAUGCAACGCGAAGAACCUUACCUGGUCUUGUCAUAUCUAGAAUCUUGUAGAGAUACGAGAGUGCCUUCGGGAAUUAGAAUACAGGUGCUGCAUGGCGGUCUUCAGCUCGUGUCGUGAAAUGUUGGGUUAAGUCCCGCAACGAGCGCAACCCUUGUCCUUAGUUACCAGCGGGUUAAGCCCGGAACUAUAAGGAUACUGCCAGUGACAAACUGGAGGAAGGCGGGGACGACGUCAAGUCAUCAUGGCCCUUACGACCAGGGCUACACACGUGCUACAAUGGUAGGUACAGAGGGCAGCUACACAGCGAUGUGAUGCGAAUCUUUCAAAGCCUAUCGUAGUCCAGAUUGGAGUCUGCAACUCGACUCCAUGAAGUAGGAAUCGGUAGUAAUCGCGGAUCAGAAUGCCGCAAGAAUACCUUCAGAGUUUGAUCACGGCCCAGUAAGUCGUAACAAGGUAACCACUAGAGUUUGAUCAUGGCUCAGUAAGUCGUAACAAGGUAACCACUAGAGUGA